rnacentral:rRNA from 1 species
GACGAACGCUGGCGGCGUGCUUAACACAUGCAAGUCGAACGAAAAGAGGGAAAGAGCUUGCUCUUUCCGGAAUUGAGUGGCGAACGGGUGAGUAACACGUAAACAACCUGCCUUCAGGAUGGGGACAACAGACGGAAACGACUGCUAAUACCGAAUAAGUUCCAAGGGCCGCAUGGCCCAUGGAAGAAAAGGUGGCCUCUACCUGUAAGCUAUCGCCUGAAGAGGGGUUUGCGUCUGAUUAGCUGGUUGGAGGGGUAACGGCCCACCAAGGCGACGAUCAGUAGCCGGUCUGAGAGGAUGAACGGCCACACUGGAACUGAGACACGGUCCAGACUCCUACGGGAGGCAGCAGUGGGGAAUCUUCCGCAAUGGGCGAAAGCCUGACGGAGCAACGCCGCGUGAGUGAUGACGGCCUUCGGGUUGUAAAACUCUGUGAUCCGGGACGAAAAGGCAGAGUGCGAAGAACAAACUGCAUUGACGGUACCGGAAAAGCAAGCCACGGCUAACUACGUG